rnacentral:rRNA from 1 species
GGAUAACGUUUGGAAACGAACGCUAAUACCGCAUGAUAUUAUUGAGCUGCAUGGCUUGAUAAUCAAAGGGGCAAUCCGCUGAAAGAUGGGCUCGCGUCCGACUAGGUAGUUGGCGGGGCAACGGCCCACCAAGCCGACGAUCGGUAGCCGGACUGAGAGGUUGAACGGCCACAUUGGGACUGAGACACGGCCCGGACUCCUACGGGAGGCAGCAGUGAGGGAUAUUGGUCAGUGGGGGAAACCCUGAACCAGCAACGCCGCGUGAGGGAAGACGGUUUUCGGAUUGUAAACCUCUGUCCUCUGUGAAGAUAAUGACGGUAGCAGAGGAGGAAGCUCCGGCUAACUACGUGCCAGCAGCCGCGGUAAUACGUAGGGAGCAAGCGUUGUCCGGAUUUACUGGGUGUAAAGGGUGCGUAGGCGGCUUUGCAAGUCAGAAGUGAAAUCCAUGGGCUUAACCCAUGAACCGCUUUUGAAACUGCAGAGCUUGAGUGGAGUAGAGGUAGGCGGAAUUCCCGGUGUAGCGGUGAAAUGCGUAGAGAUCGGGAGGAACACCAGUGGCGAAGGCGGCCUGCUGGGCUCUAACUGACGCUGAGGCACGAAAGCGUGGGUAGCAAACAGGAUUAGAUACCCUGGUAGUCCACGCUGUAAACGAUGAUUACUAGGUGUGGGUGGACUGACCCCAUCCGUGCCGGAG